AGUGAACGCUGGCGGUAGGCCUAACACAUGCAAGUCGAACGGCAGCACAGUAAGAGCUUGCUCUUACGGGUGGCGAGUGGCGGACGGGUGAGGAAUACAUCGGAAUCUACUUUUUCGUGGGGGAUAACGCAGGGAAACUUACGCUAAUACCGCAUACGACCUACGGGUGAAAGCAGGGGAUCUUCGGACCUUGCGCGAUUGUAUGAGCCGAUGUCGGAUUAGCUAGUUGGCGGGGUAAAGGCCCACCAAGGCGACGAUCCGUAGCUGGUCUGAGAGGAUGAUCAGCCACACUGGCAGUGAGACACGGUCGAGACUCCUACAGGAGGCAGCAGUGGAGAAUAUUGGACGAUGGGCGCGAGCCUGAUCCAGCAAUACCGCGUGGGUGAAGAAGGACUUCGGGUUGUAAAGCCCUUUUGUUGGGAAAGAAAAGCAGCAGGUUAAUACCCCGCUGUUCUGACGGUACCCAAAGAAUAAGCACCGGCUAACUUCGUG
rnacentral:rRNA from 1 species